rnacentral:rRNA from 1 species
ACGCACGCUGGCGGCGUGCCUCAUACAUGCAAGUAGAACGCACAGUUUAUACCGUAGCUUGCUACACCAUAGACUGUGAGUUGCGAACGGGUGAGUAACGCGUAGGUAACCUGCCUGGUAGCGGGGGAUAACUAUUGGAAACGAUAGCUAAUACCGCAUAAUAUUAAUUAUUGCAUGAUAAUUAAUUGAAAGGUGCAAUUGCACCACUACCAGAUGGACCUGCGUUGUAUUAGCUAGUAGGUGAGGUAACGGCUCACCUAGGCGACGAUACAUAGCCGACCUGAGAGGGUGAUCGGCCACACUGGGACUGAGACACGGCCCAGACUCCUACGGGAGGCAGCAGUAGGGAAUCUUCGGCAAUGGACGAAAGUCUGACCGAGCAACGCCGCGUGAGUGAAGAAGGUUGUCGGAUCGUAAAGCUCUGUUGUAAGAGAAGAACGGGUGUGAGAGUGGAAAGUUCACACUGUGACGGUAUCUUACCAGAAAGGGACGGCUAACUACGUG